AGCAUACAAGGCAUACGGCUCAGUAACGCGUAGUCAACCUAACCUAUGGACGGGAAUAACCUCGGGAAACUGAGAAUAAUGCCCGAUAGAACAUUAUGCCUGGAAUGGUUUAUGUUCCAAAUGAUUUAUCGCCGUAGGAUGGGACUGCGGCCUAUCAGUUUGUUGGUGAGGUAAUGGCCCACCAAGACUAUUACAGGUACGGGCUCUGAGAGGAGUAGCCCGGAGAUGGGUACUGAGACAUGGACCCAGGCCCUAUGGGGCGCAGCAGGCGAGAAAACUUUGCAAUGUGCGAAAGCACGACAAGGUUAAUCCGAGUGGUUUCUGCUAAAGAAACCUUUUGUCAGUCCUAGAAACACUGAUGAAUAAGGGGUGGGCAAGUUCUGGUGUCAGCCGCCGCGGUAAAACCAGCACCUCAAGUGGUCAGGAUGAUUAUUGGGCCUAAAGCAUCCGUAGCCGGCUCUGUAAGUUUUCGGUUAAAUCUGUACGCUCAACGUACAGGCUGCCGGGAAUACUGCAGAGCUAGGGAGUGGGAGAGGUAGACGGUACUCGGUAGGAAGGGGUAAAAUCCUUUGAUCUAUUGAUGACCACCUGUGGCGAAGGCGGUCUACCAGAACACGUCCGACGGUGAGGGAUGAAAGCUGGGGGAGCAAACCGGAUUAGAUACCCGGGUAGUCCCAGCUGUAAACUAUGCAAACUCAGUGAUGCAUUGGCUUGUGGCCAAUGCAGUGCUGCAGGGAAGCCGUUAAGUUUGCCGCCUGGGAAGUACGUACGCAAGUAUGAAACUUAAAGGAAUUGGCGGGGGAGCACCACAAGGGGUGAAGCCUGCGGUUCAAUUGGAGUCAACGCCGGG
rnacentral:rRNA from 1 species